rnacentral:rRNA from 1 species
CAAUAGCGUAUAUUUAAGUUGUUGCAGUUAAAAAGCUCGUAGUCGGAUUUUGGCUGAGAACGAUCGGUCCGCCGUUAGGUGUGCACUGAUUGGUCUCAGCUUCCUGGUGAGGAGGUGUGCUUCACGGCCACUUAGUCACCGUGGUUACUUUGAAAAAAUUAGAGUGUUCAAAGCGGGCUUACGCUUGAAUAUAUUAGCAUGGAAUAACACCAUAGGACUCCUGUCCUAUUUCGUUGGUCUCGGGACGGGAGUAAUGAUUAAGCGGAACAGUUGGGGGCAUUCGUAUUUCAUUGUCAGAGGUGAAAUUCUUGGAUUUAUGAAAGACGAACUUCUGCGAAAGCAUUUGCCAAGGAUGUUUUCAUUGA